UGAGGAAUAUUGGGUCAAUGGCCGAGAGGCUGAACCAGCCAAGUAGCGUGCAGGACGACGGCCCUACGGGUUGUAAACUGCUUUUGCGGGAGGAUAAAGUGCACUACGUGUAGUGCUUUGCAGGUAUCCCGUGAAUAAGGACCGGCUAAUUCCGUGCCAGCAGCCGCGGUAAUACGGAAGGUCCGGGCGUUAUCCGGAUUUAUUGGGUUUAAAGGGAGCGCAGGCCGCUGGGCAAGCGUGUUGUGAAAUGCAGUCGCUCAACGUCUGCACUGCAGCGCGAACUGCCCAGCUUGAGUGCGCGCAACGUUGGCGGAAUUCGCCGUGUAGCGGUGAAAUGCUUAGAUAUGGCGAAGAACUCCGAUUGCGAAGGCAGCUGACGGGUGCGUAACUGACGCUCAUGCUCGAAAGUGCGGGUAUCGAACAGGAUUAGAUACCCUGGUAGU
rnacentral:rRNA from 1 species